CCUACACCCGCUCAGCAGUUAGUGGGCCAAAUUCUGUCUAUUCUUGGAUUCAGGGACAAUCUCAGUCGAGUUGCAGAGGUAAAAAUGAAGCUAGAACAGGGGCCUCCUUUCCUGUCCUCCUACCAUCCCUGGAGAAGCAGAAGAUUAAUGGGAGUUUGCUUUGCCUGGUGUUUUCUGUCUGAGAAAAGUGGUUCACCUUCUGGGACAGUCAGCCCAGGACGGUUCAGGGGUCUUCAGCUGUUGACUUGGAGGGCCUUAGUGUGGGCUCAGCACCUUACUCUAUAUGGCAGCACCUGGGACAUUCACUCAGCACCUGUUUCACAGCAAGAUUCCUGCUUGUCUUGACCCCUGCUUAAAGACUGUAUGACUGCAGCAAUCAGAGAUGGAAUAGGCGCCUUUUGGAAGGCUCUGCUGAGUGACUCAGCAGCUCAGCUCCAGUUACGUGACCCAGAAUCCACUUGGCACAAAACCUUCCUGUUCUCACUGCUGGGCCACAGCUCUGCUGGCUGCAGAACAGUUCGUGCUAGCCCUCACUCACCCCGUUCCUUACUCCACAACUGCGCUUUGCCUUCAGUUUUGCAGGCACCAAAGUGGUUCUUUGCUUGGCCUGGGUUCUUCCCUUCCAGCUCUUCCAGUGUGGUUUCUGGAUGAAAAAGAGAAAAAAAAAAAAAAAGAUGGUGCCUUCCUACAUUCCCCCUCAUAGAUACCAUCUGGAUUGCAGACAACUCACCCAAAUAGAAUAUGAAGCUUGGCAGGAAAAAAAAGCCCCUUGUGUGUCUUUCCAAAUUGAUAUUUCAAUAUCUCUGUUUUGCACCAACUGAAACAAGCCCAAAUUCUCUGGGAGAGAGUGUGUGCUAACAUGGCCUCUAUUUUAUUAAGAACAAACAAACAACAACAACAACGAAAAAGCAUGGCAGUCAUUUAGCUGUAAUGGCCAAGAUAUAAAAUGUCAGUUUUAUUUAUGGCAAGUAGCUGGGUAGAAAAUAUGUCCUGGCAUCGCUUGAGAUUUCAAGAACUUUGUUUUCCUUUUUCUCUCGCUGCAUGAAAUAAUGCUGUAUUCUUAACAAACAAACAAAGAAAAACAAAGAAGACGACAGCCCUCUCCAGCAAGAAAGACCAUGCUCUUCUCUCCACAGAACCAGAGUGAGUGGACCUGUGAGAGACAGAGGGACGUGAAAGUCAAAUCAGGUGCAACAGGAACUCAAACCCAUGCUUUCUGCCUCCAUGUUCACAUGAUAAUCACUGGGGAAUCAGCACGCUGGAGUUACAGUUUUCUGCUCUGUUUCUGACCAAAAGUUCCAUGCUGAAACAACGAGACUUCACACUGAGACCAAUGAACAACAACGUCAGGCUUUGCGCUACCGGUAUCAGAGCCUAACACGGCUGUGGCUGCUGACUUGUGCUUGGAUGAGCCUACACAAAUGCCAUUAAGUCAUUAAAACGCCGCUUGAACCAGCUUCCUACACAGCUCUAAUUAAACUUAACCAAUCUAAUCGAUGAUCCUGAGGUUUACUUUUGUAUAUGAUAUCUCACUUUCACCCAGGAACCCUCCCUAAGGGACCACCAUGCCACUGAAUGCAGAGCAAGAAAGCUAUCCUGGCACGCUCCUCUUAUCUGGAUGUGAAAAGUGACAUCAGCCUGAGCUCUGCCUCUCUUAACUCUGGCAAAUUAGACAAGCCAGGUUCUGUAAACACCUUUUUUUUUUUUUUUUUCUUCUGUGUGUGUGCUUCAAAGAGGCUUUAUCAGUCCAAAAAGAGCCGAGUAUGGAUUUCUAAAAGCAGGCUUAGAUCUCCCAGCCAAGCACAUGCUGAACCCUUAGUUCUUGUGUCUUAUGACAGCAGAAUUAUAAAAAGCAAGGCAGUGCCUGCUACUUGUUAGCUGCUGCUUCUCCUGGCAUCCCAGGGUUUCCUUUUCUAUGCCAGCAGAAUUUUGGCUCAGGGUACCAGAAAAUGGAUUCUCAAAAUCUGUAUCUGUACAGUGUAUACUCUGUGUAAUCUCUGGGCUGGUUGGUCAGGGAGGUCAACGUGACUUUGUUAGCAGAAGUGAUGUGGCUCAGUGGGUAUGACAUGGUUUACUGGGCAUAGUGGUGAUGGUGGUGGACUAGAUGGUCUUAGUAGUCUUUUCCAACGUCUGUGAUUCCUUGACUGACAUAGAAGGGAGAAAUCUUGGUUACAGGCCUUGGGAAACUGUGCAGUAACCGUGCAGGAGGUAUUAGGAUUGACAGAGGCAGAGUGAGUGGGUCUCACCUUAGGGCAGGAAGAUGAGCUAGAGGAUUUCUUGGAGUUUCUUCUAUUUCAGUUUGCAGAAGCCUUUUAUUAAUGCAAGACCUGGAUCUAGGGAAUGAAAACCUUACAUAAUCCAACUACUGAAAGCUGAGUAACAAAUUGAGGGCAGAAAUAAAUUGCACAUUUUUUUUUAGCACUGGAACAAUUUAUCUAAGAAUGGCUUGGGUUCUGUUUUGCUUGAUGCCUAAGACAAGAUUAGAUAGCAUGUUGAUAGUCAUGUGGUAGCUCAACAGAGCAAUGAGCUGGACAAAGAUGUAGGAGGUCUCCCACCCUCCUUAUGCGUUGUUGGGUUUCAUUUUUAUCUUCAAAUAAAUUAUUGGCCUAAAUUUGUUCAUUGCCUAAAAGGGGACUGGGAAGAGAUUGUAGUAGAAAGACAGUACACUAGAUAGCUUGUGGAAGCCAAAUUUGCCUUUACUACAGAGCACAAAAGCACAGAAAAAUUGGCUAUGAAGAAAAUGUUCCCCUUACCAAUUUCUCUCUCAAAAGCAGGACUCUGUCACCUUUAAACUGAUGGACAGAAAUGGGCAAGGGUGUUAUUCAAGGUCCAGAAUGAAGGCAUUCCCUACAAGGCUGUGCGUUAGUAAUUAUCUCAAACAGUGCAAUCGUUUAGCAUAACAACAACAAGAAAACCAAAUGCCCACAUCGCAACCACAGCUGAUGCCUAACAUGAAUGGCUGGAAUAUUUACAAGGACUGAAUUUAUACUGCAGUCUUCCCAGUUGCUUUCCUUGGUAUUGCAGUCCCAUUUACCAUGGUGAAUGAAUGUCAUUCACCAUGGUAAAUGAGUGAGAGAAGAAUUUGUUAGGUCAUAAAAAUAAUGGAUGUAUGCAUUAUGUGUGGUGAAUGGUUGGGGAGGAACUAUCACACUCUCUGAUGUUACCCCACCAAAUAUCAUAUCGCAGCCAUGAGCACUGAUUCAAAGUAAUCACAGGCUAAUUCUAUGUAUCUGUACAGUGUUUAAGUACAGAAUAUUAAUGAGUUAAGUGGUAGCGUGCAGAAGUGUAUCUUGCUGGGUAGCAUAAGUCACUUUCAUGUCAAUGUAAUUUGAGCUUUGCUGGGCCAGUAGAUACUCUAAACUACAACAUGUCGGUCUAGAGCAAGGGACGAAAUUUCUCUGAUUAUGUUGCUGUCAGAAUUGAUCCUAAUAAGCAAAGGGCAAAAAAUGAUUUUAGGAUUAGUUGGUGUGCGCCCACUUUUGGGAGCAUAUUAAACCAAAUUGCAAGAUAUCUAGGUUAAAUUGUUGCUGUCAGUUUUGUAGAGUCAUCAAAGGUCUCUUAACUCCUAAGUGGAGUUUUCCUCAACAAGUUGAUCUGCAGCUUGCAAAGGGCCAGGCUAUGUGCAAUCUGCAGAACAGGCCACAGUAAAGCAAUCUUUGGUUUCUGGAGGUAAAAAAUGCCUUAUACAUACAGUUUUGGUACUGAG
ensembl:lncRNA